CGUCCAAAUUAAAACGCUGUGUCAUAUUUUUUUUUCUUUUCUUGCAGUAAUAAUGGAGUAGCAUUUCAGAGAUACAAGAGAUACUCCCCUCCGUUUCUUUUUUUUUAUUUGUCGCUAUUUUAGUUUAAAAAUAAACACUUAGUAGACGACAAAUAUUCGAGAACCGAACCGAGCAAAUAUUUAUCUCUAGCUCCUUAUGUGCUCUAAAAUGCCAAAUAUUUUUUUACCCUAAUCAAAGAAGGAAUGACAUAAGAUCUAUUUGAUUUGCAGUAAUGGUCUGCUCAAAAACCGACUUCACCGCUGGUAUCGACAGUAACAGUGGACAGUGAAGUGGAUCUUCCUCGAAUCUGCCGGGCAAAACAUGUUGGGUGGGCUAAAGAGAUAAGACUAUGGACCACCAUGAAGAUGCAAACACAGUACAAUUGAAUCCACACAGGCGGGAUCAAGUAUCGUUCUCAAUCCGAAGGCUGCUAGCUAGGGCACCAUGAAGAGGGAUGGAUAGCUGGAAAUGGUAUUGGGUUGGGACAUUAUGCUUUUCACAUUUAUGGAACACUCGUACUUAUGCAUUAUAAAUGUGAUUAAAUAUAAGGUAGUUUGACUUCAACUUUCUAGCCAGCUGUAAAAGGCUAGCUAGAGGGUUACUCAAACACAACUAAAUUGACCACUGAUAUGGGCAAAGACAUAAAAAAGUUGGCAUGAAAAAAGUUGAUAUAGUAACUAAAAAUAAAUGAGAAAGAAGAGGUAGAAGAAAGAUGUUAUAGAGUAGUAGUGUAUCAAUUGUUUUAUACAGUAUAUAAUUAUUAUUUUUACUUAACAAAAAAGUUUUCACGUUCUCUUUUGAUUUUAACGAAUUAUGUUGAUUUUCAUUUGCUUUAUUUCAGUAAACUGUUGCGUUUCAUUUUAACCACACAAAUCUACAAAGGCCGCGAGGAUUGAAAAUCAGUAGUACCCUACAUUGUGUGACCAUACCACAUAGAUUCGAUAGUUCAUCCGUCUAUACAUUUUGCAACUUGUUAGACCAGGCCGGGUGACACAGGCAUUCGGUUAACCGAUUUUUUUUCGGUUCGGUUUUUUGAAGUCCGGUUUUUGAAGGAUGGUAACCGAAAAUUCUGUGUAAAAGAAAAAGAAAGGAAAAACCGACCCCUCUGUUAACCGAAACCUGUGGGAGCGAUUGUCAAUUGGACACGUAAAAAAGGUGCGUGCGUAAAGGAAGAAGGAUUGAAAGCAACGCGUCAAUGCAAGAGAUUUAUUUAAGCUGUUCUUUUGAAAGCAAAAGUACACAGCUCGCUCCUAUUUUAUUUAGGAACUCUUCUCCUUGCAGAAAUUAAAAACAAGUACUGUACAUAUAUGAUAGCAUGGAGUCUCUCUAGUCCAAGUUUGUUGGCUGCUGGAGGCGGAGAUACUGAAGGCGAUAUGGCCCUAAUAAUUUGGCACAAGUGUUUGACUCGAAAUAGUUUACUGAGAUGACGCCUCUCAGCAGCUCACUCCUCGUCGUCUUGGGAAGGGUCAUCACGGAACCGGCAUAUCCGGCCAUUUGGCUAGCUAAUGGCUUGGCACUACGGCGUCUGCUCCAAGUGGACGCAAAAGAAGGCCCGUUGCGUUGCGCUCACGAAAGCCUGCUGCAUGCAAUGGAGAUGGGGAGUCGUUGGUUCAAUCAUCUCUAUGGCUGGCUGGAACUUUAUAUAUCUAGUUAGCUUCAUCCCCUUUAUUUGGAGGUCCAUGGUGAAUGAUGGAUUUAGGUUCCGGCCUUUUCUCUUAGACUGAUGGGACCGGAACAGCAGGCCGACGACGGACGGCACAUGGAAGAAUAAUGCAUGCACAGUUCCAAGCACGCAGAUCGCGAUGUUGGGGGGCGAAAAAAAGAAUCAAAAGCAUCAUUAUUAAGGGCGGCAGAGAGGCAUGUGUAGCUACGUACCUUGGUUCCCAGCAGCUCCGGCGAGGCCCGCACGGCGGCGGACGCGUCGAGCGCGAAGCGGGCGCGGUGGAUGGCGAUGCGCGCCAGCGGCUGCACGCCGGCGUGCCCCGCGGCCACGGCGGCGAGCAGGAGCAGGCAAACCAACCGCGCCGCGCCUUCCGCCGGUCUCAUGACACGAUCGAUGAUGCUAUCUUCCUUGCUUCCUUUUGGAACUAGUAGGGAGAGCACCGAGCAGCUUCCGCCGUGCGGUUUAUGUAUCAGCGGACGCUACGUCUACGUGUAGCGCACCCGAUCGAGAUGCGAGAGAACUCGAACGAGACGACGCGCGCGGGGAGUUGACUCGACGAGCGAUACAGCUAGAUAGCCGUGCCCAGCAGCUUCAAUUCGCGAGGGCUCUCGGAGAGAUUUCCGCCGCUGGCCGCGUACAGGAUCUAUAAAGAUAAGGAAGUUAUAUGCUUCGGAUAUGGCCAGAAAUUCCGCGUACGGCCGCGCCGUUUGUUUAGCUUAUAAUACUAAUUGUUUGUACGAUACGACGGUCGACUUCUCCUGGACGUUCACACCGAACCUAAGCCUAUGCCUAUGUGGUUGUUUGGAUCUCAUUACCGUGAAUCGGUACUUUCAAAGACAGGUUUUACAAUGAACUUUCAAAUAAACAUGGUUUUUAAGUA